rnacentral:rRNA from 1 species
AUCUAAAAGAAUUUAAUUUUGGUUCUGAAUGAACGUUUUUCAGUAGUUUUAAGACAUGCAAAUCGUUGUUCUAACAGUUUAUCAUUAUUUAAUGUUUUUUUAAUAUUAAAUUAAAGAUAAAAAAUUAAGAAUAAGGUGUAAAGGUGAGUAUUUUAAAUUAGAUACCUUAUAGACUCCUUAAUUGGGAGAUAAUUUUACUUCUGCACCUCUAGGGAUAAAUGUUAAAUCAUAGCGCAAACACGACAGCUGUAUAAUUAAUUUAUUCUUGUAGUCACGUACGCGGUAGCAUUAUCUCCAUUUUUUAUUAUUCUUGUCUUUUUUUUAUUAAAAAAAAAAAGAAGAAAAGAGUAAAUAUUGAAGGGAAAUAGAAGUGUCGCAGAAACUUAUUAUUAUAAUAUAAAAAAAAGACCAAAGCUAGUCUUCUCUAAAUAUAAAUUUAGGGUUAUAUUAAAAAAAAAAUAAUAAGGAAAGUAAAAUAUAAAUUAGCUAUUUAUAAAAAAAGGGAAAUUUUCUGCUAUAAGAUUCGAUUUAUUUUGUUUAAUGGUAGUUGGUGGGGUAAAUGCCUACCAAGCCUAUGAUCAAUAGCCAUGUUUGAUAGAACAGAUGGCCACAUUGGGAAUGAAAAGCCCCAAGUAGUGUAAACUACCAGCAGUCAAGAAUAUUAGUCAAUGCUCGCAAGAGUGAACUAGCUAACUGAAAUCACAUGAGUCAUACGAUAUGUUGCUGAUUGUGAUAACGUAAGGGAAAAAAAUGAUAUUACCUUACUAUUAGUGUUGUCCAAAACUGGUGCCAGAAGACUCGGUAAGGCCAGAGACGCGAACGUUAUUCGUCCUAAUCAGGCGUAAAGGGUUAGUAGGCUGCUUUUAAAGUUAUAUUGUUCAAAUAAGCUCUUUUAAUGGGAUACACAUAACUUAUAUUUGAAUUAGAAUUAUGCCCAAUAUAAGGAAAAAAUAUAAUGAAUAAAAGCUAGGAUCAAAACGAGGAUAAGCCAAAUAAUACUUAGAGUAGGGAUAAUAUCUGUAGAUACUAAGUGGAAUACUAAAGGUGAAAGCUUUUUAUCUAGUAAUGAUUGACGCUGAGGAACGAAGGUGAGAAUAGGAAAUAGGAUUAGAUACCCAGAUACCUCUCACUGUCAACGAUGAAUGGUGGUUGUUAGUUUAUUAAGAAACUGGUAACGAUGUUAACACGAUAACCAUUCCGCCUUGCGAGUACGGUUGCAAAACUGAAACCAAAAAAAUUAGUCGGUCUCGAAGCAAACGAAGUGAAGCAUGUUAUUUAAUACGAUAAUACGCGUAAAAUCUUACCAGUUCUUGCAUAUCCAGUCAAUAUUUUAUAUUGAUUGAGUAGUUUCUUUUUUAUUAAGAAAUUCGUUUACAGGUGUUGCAUGGCUGUCGUAAGUCCGUGCCGUGAGAAGUGAGGUCAACUCCACUAACGGACGAAAUCCCUGUUGUUAAUUUAUACUUAACAAUUAAUGAAUCUUAUAUAUUUUCAUUUGGGGCUAAGACAAGCCGUUAUGGCCCUUAUGUACUGGGCUAUAGACGUGCCACAAGAACUUUUACAAAGUGACGCCAAAACCAAACCUAUUUACUAAAUUUUUAGUUUUAUUUUUAAUUUUAUAGUUUUAACUAAAUUUAAGGGACUAAGCCCUUUUUUUUUUUAUUGUAGAAAUCUAAAUAAAGAGGUUAUAAGGAAUAGCUAAUCAUUAAAGAAAGUUAAAUAACUAAAUAUAUUGACGGAUUGCCGCCUGAAAUUCGGCGACAUGAAGAAGGAAUUUCGAGUAAUCGUUGAUCAGUAGCGCAACGGUGAAGAAUGCAUUCGGGAUGAACUAACUGUCUGUCGCUGGGAAGAAAUUUAAAUUGAGGGAAACUGACGCGAAGUUCUCGUUAUUCUAAGGUAUACCUAAAUUAAUAAUAUCAGCUAUCCAUUAUUAAUUUAUAUUUAAUAUUUAUUAAAAAUUUUUAUUUUUAUUAACCAGAGAAGAGGUAGUUUUAUGCUAAACUUUAAAUAUUAGAAGUUAUUCUUUUUAAGGUUUAGUCUUUAAAUAAUUAAAAACACCUUUUUUAAGUUUAUUAGUCUCAGUUAACUCUUUUAAGUAACAUCUCAAAAGUCAUAGCAAGGUAGCUGUACUGGAAAGUGCUGCUGGAAAAUAAAAUCU